GGCGGACGGGUGAGUAACACGUGGGCAACCUACCUUAUAGUUUGGGAUAACUCCGGGAAACCGGGGCUAAUACCGAAUAAUCUAUUUCACUUCAUGGUGAAAUACUGAAAGACGGUCUCGGCUGUCGCUAUAAGAUGGGCCCGCGGCGCAUUAGCUAGUUGGUGAGGUAACGGCUCACCAAGGCGACGAUGCGUAGCCGACCUGAGAGGGUGAUCGGCCACACUGGGACUGAGACACGGCCCAGACUCCUACGGGAGGCAGCAGUAGGGAAUCUUCCACAAUGGGCGAAAGCCUGAUGGAGCAACGCCGCGUGAGUGAAGAAGGUUUUCGGAUCGUAAAACUCUGUUGUAAGGGAAGAACAAGUACAGUAGUAACUGGCUGUACCUUGACGGUACCUUAUUAGAAAGCCACGGCUAACUACGUGCCAGCAG
rnacentral:rRNA from 1 species